AUGGCCUCCGAACAGAUGGUGCAUAUGAGUCAAGGACAAGGGGAAACUAGCUAUGCUCGCAACUCCAGUUUUCAGAAGGCUGAGCAGAACAGGAUGAAGUCCCUCAUAGAAGCGGUCAUCGCGGACUUAUGCGGCAGCAGCAGUACCUUCUUGCCUGGAAAGAUGGUGAUCGCAGACUUGGGAUGCUCCUCUGGCCCAAAUGCGCUAGCACUGGUAUCAACUGCCAUCAAUGCCAUCCAUAGCCAAUGCCUUCACUUACAGCAGCCACCACCGGAAGUAUGCGUGCUACUCAACGACCUGCCUGACAAUGACUUCAACACGGUGGUGAAGAGCUUGGUCACGCUCCGUCAAAGCAAGAAUCCUGUUGUCCUGACGAGUGUCGUACCAGGGUCGUUUUACGAGCGGCUCUUUAUUAGUGACUCCUUGCAUCUUGUAUGCGCGUCCAACAGCUUGCAAUGGCUGUCAAAGGCUCCUGAAGAUCUAACCAGAAGCCGCAUCCCAGCGUUCGACACUGAUGAACAUGUUAGGCGUGAAAGGUUCCCAUUGGUGCGUGAAGCUUAUGCACAUCAGUUCAGGAAAGACUUCACACUUUUCCUGGAGCUGAGAGCCAAAGAAUUGGUCUCAGGAGGCCGAAUGGUUAUUUCCCUAGUAGGGACGCGUUCUGAUGUAAUUGCCUCCAAAUUCUUUCUUUUCCCAGGAAUUGUAGCUCAGAUUCUAAGUGCCAUGGUCGCUGAGGGUGCGAUCGACAAAGCAAAGUUUGAUUCUUUCUAUGUGCCGGUGCAUGGACCUUCCGGCGAAGAGGUGAGGGAAAUCAUUGAAGAAGAGGGCUCCUUUUCCAUCAGGGAGAUGCGGGCGCACGACCCUACAACCGAAAUGAACACUGCUCUGAGCACCCCAAGGAAGUUCGUGAAUAAUCUGAGAGCCUUAUUCGAGCCGAUAAUAGUCCAGCAUUUUGGAGACAUUAUGGAUGAAUUUGUGAGGACUGCGGAGCUGCACUGGAGCCUGGAUCCGGAUGGGAGCUUGCAAGAGGAGCGGACCAGAACCUCUCGAGCUAUGCUGGUUGUAUCCCUCGCAAAGGCAUGA
rnacentral:rRNA from 1 species